GCUAAUUUUGGAAGGAAAAUAUUUCUCAAAGAUAUGGAGAAUUCCUUUGACAGUCUCUACCGUUGGAUUGCCAGAGAAGAACCCAAUCCUCCCCAUCCACUGGGAUGUUUCAUCUGCUUUGGUUACUCUAUCCUCAGUAUCCUCUUUGUCUUCAUCAUUAUUUGUUGCUUCCGAUUCCAAAGAUGGUACAUCUUUUUGCUCUAAAGCAUUGUAUCGAACUUUAAUCUUACUUUCUCAUUAAGAGGCAUUAGUGAACCUAGCCCACAGGUCUUCCAUCUUCCUUUCAGAGCAUUACAURAUUCCUCAUGGAAGCGAAACAUGAAGUACACAUAGUAUUGGAUAGCUAUUUGCAUAUCUAGAGGAUCUAGGGGGCAAUAUUCUCCCCCGUAUUAUAAAUAUGAGGACAUUAUUAAGUGCAAAUUAAAUCCCAAUUUAAUUUCAA